rnacentral:lncRNA from 1 species
GCUUCGCCCCGCCCCGCUCCCGGAGGAUGAGACGUGGGAGCUGUUGGGUGGCGCGGGGAAAGGCGGGUGUAGCGAGGCGGUAGUUCUCGCUGUGAGAUCCGGGGUCCGAGCAGGCCCUUAGAUGAGUUGCAGAGAGGGACGUUCCUUCUCUCCUUCCACCUAGUCCUGGCGGACCUCACUGCGCCCCGCCAACGCUACACCAACUGAGGAUGGAUGCCAGUCACUGGAGGAAUAUGUCAAGAUGGCAAGUUUGCUGGGUGCGGUGGCUCACGCCUGUAAUCCCAGCACUUUGGGAGGCCGAGGCGGGUGGAUCGCCUGAGGUCAGAGUUUGAGACCAGCCUGGACAACAUAGUGAAACCCCACCUCUACUAAAAAUACAAAAUUAGCUGGGCAUGGGGGCGCAUGCCUGUAAUCCCAGCUACUUGGGAGGCUGAGGCACGAGAAUCGCUUGAACCCGGGAGGUAGAGGUUGCAGUGAGCCGAGAUCGCGCCAUUGCACUCCAGCCUGGGCAACAAGAGCAAAACUCCGUCUCAAAAAAAGGAAAAAAAAAAAAAAAGAUGGCAAGUUUAACCUUUCAAAGAUAAGGCACCUCUCCCACUUCUCUCCACCUCAUUGACGCUGAUUACCCAGAAUCACUGGUUACUGUAAUUUUUGCUGACUCUUCAUGAUAACCUUAAACUGUUAGAAGUUCCAUGAUCCCUCCCUACCCACUCUCUUAUUAAAAGUAAAUUUCAUGGCAUUAGGACACACUUUGAAGAGCUCUUCUUGACUAAGUGCAUGGUUGCACUUGGAUCUAUAUUCCUGGGUUGGGUAGGGAAGGAGCGUGUGGAGCUGGAAAGGCUGAGUCAUGCCUAAGCCUAUUGUCCAUUAUCGCAUCUGUUUCUAUUUGAGGAGUGCCCUCUGCUCAUGCCUUUCUUUCCAGAAAAGCACGCCAGUUAAAUGGCUAAGGGGUGUGUUUUAACUACUUUCGGACCCCAGAAAUGCAUGAAGACAACUUCUGUUGGUCUAUGGCCUCCUAAAAAUGCUAUCAUCUCUGAGGAGGGGAAGUCAGAC